rnacentral:rRNA from 1 species
AUGAGUUCUCCCUGACCCUUCAAGGGUCCUGAAGGAACGUUAAAGACUAUGACGUUGAUAGGCCGGGUGUGUAAGCGCAGCGAUGCGUUGAGCUAACCGGUACUAAUGAACCGUGAGGCUUAACCUUACAACGCCGAAGCUGUU